rnacentral:misc_RNA from 1 species
CCACACGCUGGAGAUAACGAGGCAAAUUUGACAUAUACUUGACAAGCUCAUCAUCUUUUGUUGCCCUUACAAUGACAGAGAGCUGCUGGCUAUUCACUGUAGUCUUUUGUUGGACCAUGGCCCUAGCAUUUGUAUGUUUUCUUAGUUCAUGGGGCAGAUCAUCAUAUGGCUUAUUGAUGUAACUUUCGGCUUUUAACUUGUCUUGAUGCUUUAUGCUCUGUGUUGCUUGGGUUAGAAGAACCAUAUCCUUGACUAUCUUGGAAUUCUGCUGCUGUUUUGAACUCUUUUUUACGCCUAAACUGCUGAAUCCCAUUUUGUUAGAAGGUUCUGAGUAUGUUAAUACUUUGUCAUAACCCGGA